rnacentral:tRNA from 2 species
GCCUUGAUAGCUCAGUGGAUAGAGCGUCUGUCUCCGGAACAGAAGGUCGCGGGUUCGACCCCCGCUCUAGGCU